rnacentral:rRNA from 1 species
AUUGAACGCUGGCGGCAGGCUUAACACAUGCAAGUCGAGCGGAGUGAUGGUGCUUGCACUAUCACUUAGCGGCGGACGGGUGAGUAAUGCUUAGGAAUCUGCCUAUUAGUGGGGGACAACAUCUCGAAAGGGAUGCUAAUACCGCAUACGUCCUACGGGAGAAAGCAGGGGAUCACUUGUGACCUUGCGCUAAUAGAUGAGCCUAAGUCGGAUUAGCUAGUUGGUGGGGUAAAGGCCUACCAAGGCGACGAUCUGUAGCGGGUCUGAGAGGAUGAUCCGCCACACUGGGACUGAGACACGGCCCAGACUCCAACGGGAGGCAGCAGUGGGGAAUAUUGGACAAUGGGGGGAACCCUGAUCCAGCCAUGCCGCGUGUGUGAAGAAGGCCUUAUGGUUGUAAAGCACUUUAAGCGAGGAGGAGGCUCUUUUGGUUAAUACCCAAGGUGAGUGGACGUUACUCGCAGAAUAAGCACCGGCUAACUCUGUGCCAGCCGCCGCAGUAA